rnacentral:rRNA from 1 species
UACGAGGGGGGCAAAUGUUAUUCGGAAUCACUGGGCAUAAAGGGCGCGUAGGCGGCUUGACAAGUCAGGGGUGAAAUCCGGCAGCUUAACUGUCGCAGUGCCUUUGAUACUGUCGAGCUCGAGGGAGGUAGGGGUCUGUGGAACUUCCGGUGGAGCGGUGAAAUGCGUUGAUAUCGGAAGGAACGCCGGUGGCGAAAGCGACGGACUGGAUCUCUUCUGACGCUGAGGCGCGAAAGCCAGGGGAGCAAACGGG